GAGGUUGUCUGGAUCGGGGGGGCAGGGCCUGAAUGGCGUGUAGGUCAUGUAGCGGUGAAGGAGCUCGGGGUGGUCAUGGCAGGCGGAGGCGAUGGGGGAGAGCGAGGCGUAGAGGAGGAGAUCGGCGGGGGAGGAAGGGGAGCGGAGGGUGGUGGCGGAGGAGGAGCGGAGCCCGGUGAGGUGGGAGAUGGUGGCGCGGAUAGUGGCGAGCUGCUGCUGGAGGCGAUCCGGGAUCUGCGCCGCCGGCUGCCUGGCGGCGCCGCCGGGGGAGUACGAGGAGAUGGAGGAGAGGUGGUAGAGAGAGAGUAAGUUGGUGCCUACCAUGGCGAAGAGGAGCAGCAGGUUCAGCCCCAUGCCCAGGCCCAUCCUCUCCUUCUCCUUCCUUCCUCCCCUCCACCGCCACCGCCCUCGUCUCCCUCGGACUCGAGUUUCCUUCCCAC
rnacentral:lncRNA from 1 species